UAUCACAAAUAGAGAAAAUACAACAAGACAAAGCAAAAGAUCUUUGGAACAUUAAAUAAUUUCACUUGUAAGUUAAGUCUGAUUUUAAAAAAAAGAAGCCUUUACUAUUGACAGUUGUUAAACUACAACAGUUGUGCAAUGUUAUUUAGCCAGUUUAAAUAUACAAGCAAAUCUGUAGAGCUCCAGACUUCAGUUACAUUUUGUCCAGUUUAACUACUUCAUAUAUGUACUAAGUUAUUCUAGAACAGUAUUUCAUGUCUGUCAGUAGAUCAGCUAAUACAGGGCAAAACUGAUGCAGUAACACUGAAAAAUUCAUCUAUACAGUUUAUUUUACACCUGGAUUUUUGGUAAUCUAUAGCACUUGGACAGGUUAAGGUAGCUCUGAAAGCUUUCUCCUUAAUGUCUGUUGUGUGCCAGCUUUCAAAAGGAAGCCACUAGAUCAUGGGAAAGAGGGGAAACAAAGCAUUCAGUGGAUUAAGUAUGUGACAUAACUGACUUUUCUGCCAUGUGAGAUUUGGGGUUUAAACCUUAAGCACUGGACAUAGACUUACAUUGCUGCUAGGCAACUGAAUUUGUCUAAAACAGCGCAUUUUUUUCCUCCUAACAGGCUUCAUGGUUGUGAUAGGAAUUGCCCUUGAUAGUGCUUUCCUAACUCAGUCCACAAGAAUUUUGCAGCACUUACCUAGAAGUGAAAGUUCAAUAUGAAAUCUGCAAGUAUAUGACCAUUCAGCUUUGAUACAGGAAUGAACAGUGGGAGCACAGAGCAGAUGUUCAUUGCUAGAAAUAGGCACUAGAGGGUGCAUGCACAGAGGUUUUGCCUUCAUGUAUUUUGGAUCCAAAAGCAUGCUGACUUCCUGAAAAAUACAAAAUAUUCAGUGCUGUGAAUUUUAGCCUACAUAUGCAAUGAAAUGAGCUAAUGGCUCUGAAGAAUUUCAUCUUAUGCCUGUGUUGACACAUACGUGCUGCCUAAGCUUCACACAUGGGUUUUCUGGAAGGACUUUUUUGUCCUGCGCUGAGGAACUACCACUGAAUGAAGACUCAAAGACAUCUGAAGCAGCACUUGAUUUAUCUGAAAUUAGAUCUUCAGAUGAUCCCACGCUGGC